UACGGAAGGCAGCAGUGGGGAAUAUUGCACAAUGGGCGCAAGCCUGAUGCAGCCAUGCCGCGUGUAUGAAGAAGGCCUUCGGGUUGUAAAGUACUUUCAGUCGUGAGGAAGGUGUUAAGGUUAAUAACCUUAGCAAUUGACGUUAGCGACAGAAGAAGCACCGGCUAACUCCGUGCCAGCAGCCGCGGUAAUACGGAGGGUGCGAGCGUUAAUCGGAAUUACUGGGCGUAAAGGGCACGCAGGCGGUUAAUUAAGUUGGAUGUGAAAUCCCCGGGCUUAAACCUGGGAAUGGCAUUCAAGACUGGUUAGCUAGAGUCUUGUAGAGGGGGUAGAAUUCCAUGUGUAGCGGUGAAAUGCGUAGAGAUGUGGAGGAAUACCGGUGGCGAAGGCGGCCCCUGGACAAAGACUGACGCUCAUGUGCGAAAGCGUGGGGAGCAAACAGGGAUUAGAUACC
rnacentral:rRNA from 1 species